UACUCAGUACGGCGAGUGAGCGGUAACAGCUCAAAUUUGAAAUCUGGCUCCUGCGGAGUCCGAGUUGUAAUUUGUAGAAGAUGCUUUGGGAGGUAGGGCCGGCCUAAGUUCCUUGGAACAGGACAUCAGAGAGGGUGAGAAUCCCGUAUGCGGCCGCGGCCUACGCCCGUGUAAAGCUCUUUCGACGAGUCGAGUUGUUUGGGAAUGCAGCUCAAAAUGGGUGGUAAAUUUCAUCUAAAGCUAAAUAUUGGCCAGAGACCGAUAGCGCACAAGUAGAGUGAUCGAAAGAUGAAAAGCACUUUGGAAAGAGAGUUAAACAGUACGUGAAAUUGUUGAAAGGGAAGCGCUUGCACCCAGACUUGGGCGUCGUCGAUCAUCCGAGGUUCUCCUCGGUGCACUCGACGAUGCACAGGCCAGCAUCGGUUUGGGUGGUUGGAGAAAGGCUCUAGGAACGUAGCUCUCUUCGGGGAGUGUUAUAGCCUAGGGCGUAAUGCAGCCCAUCCGGACCGAGGACCGCGCCUUCGGGCUAGGAUGCUGGCGUAAUGGUUGCAAGCGACCCGUCUUGAAACACGGACCA
rnacentral:rRNA from 1 species